UACGAAGGGUGCAAGCGUUACUCGGAAUUACUGGGCGUAAAGCGCGUGCAGGUGGUUGGUUAAGUCCGAUGUAAAAUCUCCCGGCUCACCUGGGAGGGCGCGUUGGAGACUGGCCGACUGGAGUCAGGUAGAGGCCGGUGGAAUUCCCGGUGUAGCGGUGAAAUGCGCAGAUAUCGGGAAGAACACCCAUGGCGAAGGCGGCUCUCUGGGACGGUACUGACGCUGAGACGCGAAAGCGUGGGGAGCAAACAGG
rnacentral:rRNA from 1 species